CUUUAAAUCACAUCUAUAAUAUGGUCAGAUAAAUAAUUAAUGGAUACAUUAAAUUAACAAAAUCAUUAUUUUCUCUUUGUAUGCAGAGUUAUGAGCAUCUACUGCCCUACAAUUCUUACAAUGGAUGCUUGGAAAUGAAAAGAAUUGUGGUCUUUACCUUUUAGAAUGUCACUUUGAUGAAAACGUCUAUGGAAGAUACAUACAGUCUUUCAUCCCAAUACCUAGAAAAUUAGAAGUCCGGGGAAGACUCAAGAUGGCGCUGUGAGAACAACCCAGGAUUGGAUCUCGCGUUGAAUCCGCAAACGGUGAGUCAGAGCUGCAUUUCCAGACUGAUCUUUGUUGCCCACAGGACGGGGAAA
rnacentral:lncRNA from 1 species